ACGAUGCAGUUAAUCUCUUUGCUCAUCGACGUUAUUUGCCGAAGACCGGCUAACUCUGUGCCAGCGGCCGCGGUAAUACUUAGGGUGCUAGUGUUGAUCGGAAUUACUGGGCGUUGAGCGCACGCAAGGCGGUUUGUUAAGUCAGAUGUGAAAUCCUUGCGCUCAACCUGGCAACUGCAUCUGAUAUUGGCUUAAGCUCGAG
rnacentral:rRNA from 1 species